CAAGCGGUAGUCUAAUGGUCAGGACGCCGGCCUCCUUAAAGAGUUUCAUCAUUACCAGUCAGGUCAAAUGAAACUUACUUCAGGAUUCCAGGCUGGAGAUACCGGUUCGAAUCCGGUCCGCUUUA
rnacentral:tRNA from 1 species